rnacentral:rRNA from 1 species
UACGUAGGGUGCAAGCGUUGUCCGGAAUUAUUGGGCGUAAAGAGCGUGUAGGCGGCCCGAUUAGUCCGCUGUGAAAGUCCAGGGCUCAACCCUGGAAUGCCGGUGGAUACUGUCGGGCUAGAGUCCGGAAGGGGCGAGUGGAAUUCCUGGUGUAGCGGUGAAAUGCGCAGAUAUCAGGAGGAACACCAAUGGCGAAGGCAGCUCGCUGGGACGUGACUGACGCUGAGGCGCGAAAGCGUGGGGAGCAAACAGG